UCCCCGCCAGCGGGGACCCAGUUAUUCAGGGUCCCGAAGAGGCUUUCUACCUGUGGGCCAAAAUGGGGGUGAAGAGAAGAAGGAGACCAAGCAAAAGUUCUGUUGUCAAGGUCUCGUUUAUUGGGAUGAACAUUGCAGCUUUUAAGGCUUUCAGGUAGGGGGAGUGACCUUUGUGAAAUAUGAAGGAGGGGGAGAUGAGGGUAUAGGCAGUGAUAGCUGGAGGCAAAGAAGUCAGGCGAUGAGGUCAGGUGGUGGAGACACUGGGUGUUGACUGAGGAGAUAACUGGUAUCUGCUCGAGCUGAGGCAUCCCUUGAAUAUUAUACUCCUGUGCCGUAAAUUCAUGGGAGAGGCUUUAUCCAACAAUCUUAAGAUUUAUGGCAGUCAUCUUCGGGGUGAGUCUCUGUGGCCAAACAGCCCAGAGUCACUUUGAACCAUGCAGUCAAAAAGCGGCUAGGCCCAAAUCCAAUAUGGCUCCGUGCAUCUCCCCCAUUUUUCUUUAAAAAAAAAAAACCAUUAGGUUGAAGUAGUGGUCUGAGAGAGAUCAGACAUGCCUCACAGAGUGCCCAGCUCGGCCAUGGUGAGCCACUCUUGCAGUUAGGACUGCACCCCAAUGGCUAGGAAUGAACUUAUGCUGUAACACACCGUUCUGGGCUAUACGUGUGUGUUAUUGGGGGAGAAACUGGGCAGAGGAACAUUUGACCGGCCCGCACGUUUAAACGGGGUGUAGCCACCUCUGUCUUAGGAUCGACCUCUGAAACCCCAGCCUUAUCUGUCAUAGGAUCACCUUGUCGCCCCCAAGGUUCCUGUCUUAGAUUGGUCAAGGGUCAGAGGAAGUUGCCCGUCCCUGAGGAUAGCUACAUCAGGUCAUCUUCUCAUUCCUCUCACUUGAGCCCAGGGGCGAAAGAGCAAAGGCCAGAUGGCAUUAAUAUAAGAGAUUGUGGAAAUUGAGCCUCUCCCGACAAGUUGUAGGCACCUCAUCUUGUUCGUUGUCUCUCUGGUUCUCCUCAGCUGUUCCGGUCUCCAAGCGAUGAUAAUGUACUGAAACAGAAUUUCUAGGCAAAGCAGAAUCUAUUUGUGAUUUAAUAAAGCGUGUAAGUCGUUGGAAGGCCCAAGGACCAAAGGAAAUCAACAAAAGUAGGCCCACAAGGGGUCCCAAAAUUGAGGGCAACAAGGUAGAGAGCCAUGGGGAUGUAGAAAACCAGUUUUGGUACCAAGACUCUUGUUGUUCUCUCUCUCUCCUUCGUUUUUCUAGGCUAUCUCUCACCUUUUUUAGAUUGUCUUCUACAAGUCCAGUCUUAUCUACAUAAACACAGCAUUCCUCUUUUAAGGCUGCACAAAGUCCUCCUUGUUGUAGGAAGAUUAAGUCUAGGCCUCUUCUAUUUUGUAAGACUACUUCAGACAACGAGGCAACUGAGUCUUUUAAGUUAGCUAAUCCAUCUCUUAAUUCAGCAAUAUCCUUAUCUAUGGCUUCACUAAGCUGGUUAUAGUAUUGAUGGGAAGUAACGAGGGAAGCGAUGCCAGUGCCUGCACCCGCGGCCCCUAGACCUAGGAGAACGGCGAGAGUGAUGGCAGUUACUGAUUCUCUUUUUACCUUGUGAGGCAUAUCCGAGCCCUUUUCCCAGGAUUUAAGAAAAGUCUCUGGCUGAUGUAUGCUGAGUCUGGGAAAUAAUUGAACCAGCACACAGUAAUCUUUAGUCUUUAAAAAUUGAGAUGUUAUAACAUAUGUGGUUAGACCAGUGGAACAUGCUAGAUAAGUAUACUUGGGGGCUUGUAAAUAUGUAUUUUGAUUGUCAACGAUUAUGGUAUGAUUACAUAUUUCUAAUAAUUGUUUAGGGAGGAGCAUGUUCUUCCCGAGGAGGCAGCUUCCUAUCCCUGAGACUUCUGUGAUAGUGAGUUCUAUGGUGUUCCAAGAGAGACCACCAGUGUUAUUAGUAUAUGUGAUGUUGCCAAAAGUGGCUAUACCCUCAUAGAAAGGAGGGUUAGCUGAAAAACACAUCCAGCAUUCCUCAUAAAUAGAGGUAUUUGUUUCCUGUUCAUGAUAUACCAAGGCAAGAGCUGAGGCGUUAAGAACAGAUAAAAUCAGGGUUGUGGGGGACAUUGGCCCAACAGGUAUGGUGGGCUGAAAAAGGGUAGUUGGAGGACUAGAGGUGUUAAAGGGGGGCUGAGUCACCACCCUGGGCGGCAAGGAACCCUGGCUAUGCAAUUGAGGGUUAGGUCCAAUGGAGGCCUUAUGUAAGUUGGGGGUGGUUUUAAAUAAUCUAAUUUUGAAGGUUACUCCGGGGUCUCUAUUGGCAACAUACAUCCGGAGACCCCACUCAAACCCCCUAUGCCAGUUUUCUGGGGUGAUCUUUUUCCCAGCAUCAGUAAAAGUUAUUGUAAGAGGGUUGCACCAGCCCUUGGAAGGCUCAGUGUUCCGGCAUUCCUGGGUUAGAGUACUGUUUCUGUUAGAAUUGUGCCACCCCUUUUUUACUGUGAUAUAAUCCCAAGAGGAGGUAGGUUUCCAGUAUGCGUCUCCUGUGGUUUCACACCCCCAGGAGGCACAAUAGAAUUGAUCCCUGUAUCCACACUUAUAGUUUAGGGAGCGAUCUCUGUGGGAUCUGGGACAGACAUAAAAGUCAGUUUCCCUAAUGUUGGUGCGUCGAUGGACAGUGUCACAACCGACAUAUCUUUCAUUAAAACUAGACCCAUGAGGGGCUUCAAUUAGGGGGGUGUUCCAAGGCGAAGUGGACUGUUCAAGGUGCCCUUGUAAUAAUUGUUCCUGCACCAACUGUAGGGCCGCUUGAACCUUUUCUUGAGGCAUGGACCACUGAUCGAUCCAGACUGGAUCAUUUGACUUCCAAGAUAUUUUAUCAGCCUGGAGUGCAGGAGGAACAGCGGUCUCUAUGAAAAAAGGUCAGGAGCUUUGAACUUUGGAGUGUAUCCUGUGUUUGACCUAUCCCUUUUAAAUGUGUGGCAGUAGCCUUAAGGGGCCAGGUUGAGGGCCAGUGUCUAGAGGAGAGCACUGUUGUAUCCGCCCCUGUAUCUAAAAGGCCCUGAAAUUGUUUGCCAUCAAGCCAAAGAGACAUCAUGGGUCUUUCAUCAGUUAAUUUUUGCACCCAAUAAACAUCUGAAGAGCCA